GCGCCCAUAGCUCAACGGUUAGAGCAGCGGACUCAUAAUCCGNNGGUGGAGCAGGGGACUCAUAAUCCCUUGGUUGCAGGUUCGAAUCCUGCUGGGCGCAUCA
rnacentral:tRNA from 1 species